rnacentral:lncRNA from 14 species
AGCAGCUAAGUAAUACAGGUGGCAGGCUGUGGGUGUCUGCUGCCUCUGUAGUCACGCCUUGAGGACUUACCUCGCGCUUCAUUUCUCUCAGGGAGAGGAUUAUGGGCUUUGGAGUUUCGUACUGCGCUUGGAGUUUGUUUGUGUGUUUGGAUUUUAUUUCUUUUCCUUUUGGAUAAAGCGCUGCAAAAUCCUGCAGUGUCUCUGCCAGAGCUCGAGGCAUGCCUGAGGAAGCGCAUUUUGCUGCAGUUUGGCUUUACCUGCUGCCCAGAAAAGUAGGAGCCUGCAUAGGAAGUGGGGCAGCAGUGCUCUGUGAAAAACCAAACCAGCUGCCUGGGGGCUGCUUAAGUGUGUACGUGAUGACAGGCAGCAGCCACAGGAUAUGUAAGACCAGCAGCAAGCUGCCCACAGAGACCACAUAUCCUCCCACUCCUCCUCCUGCUCAAGUUGCUGAAAUGCUGCCCAAAACCAACACCACAAAGUCGUCAGUGAAGCACUUCCCCAUCAUGGCCUUGUUACCCACUUCAGAAAGGAUAUGUAUUGUCUCCUGGUUCAGCACUGCAGGGCGUUAGCAGCAGUAUCUUUGGUUGUUUAACUGCUUUGUUGACUGGCCAGGGUAUUCCAAGGCAUUUGGCAUCACCAUCACAGACCUCUGCUGUGGUUUGAUCCAUCUCACCCUGUGAUGGACGAAAAUGAGAUAGGGAUUAAAAAACUACUGUAUGGGAAAGAAAACCUCUC